rnacentral:rRNA from 1 species
GUGAGUGUGUAAGAGCGCAUGGUGGAUGCCUUGGCAUCAGGAGCCGAUGAAGGACGUGGAAAUCUGCGAUAAGCCUCGGGGAGCCGAUAAACAGGCGUUGAUCCGAGGGUCUCCGAAUGGGGAAACCCCGCCACUCGUGAGGGUGGUGACCCGUGUCUGAAUAUAUAGGGCAUGUGGAGGGAACGCGGGGAAGUGAAACAUCUCAGUACCCGCAGGAAGAGAAAAUAACAAUGAUUCCGGGAGUAGUGGCGAGCGAAACUGGAUGAGCCUAAACCUGUGCAGUGUCAAGCGUGCUGGUGUUGCUGCAGGGGUGUUGUGGGGUGUACGUGGUCCGGUCCAGCAUGACCGGUCUGUGAGUGUUGUUGGUGUAGUCGAACCUGGUGGGAAACAGGACCGGAGUGGGUGAGAGUCCCGUAGACGAAACGCUGACUGUUCGCAGUGUGUGCAUGCCCGAGUAGCACGGAACUCGUGGAAUUUCGUGUGAAUCUGCCAGGACCACCUGGUAAGGCUAAAUACUUCCUGAUGACCGAUAGCGGAUAAGUACCGUGAGGGAAUGGUGAAAAGUACCCCGGGAGGGGAGUGAAAGAGUACCUGAAACCAUGUGCUUACAAUCCGUCAGAGCAGUAUCUAGAUGACUGUGAUGGCGUGCCUUUUGAAGAAUGAGCC